UCUGUAAAUUUGCUUUAAAACUUAGACUGAAAAUGCUUUCUGGUAUGUUAACAUAUCUUAUACAGAUAGCUACAAUCUCUUCUGUUGUGGUUGUUGUGCUUGAAUCACAUAUGAGUGAAAAGAAUAUGGCUUUCCUUAAUUCUGCUACAUGCUUAUUUUGGAUGUCUGCUGCUAUAAACCCCUAUGAAUUCUUUGCAGUGUUUAUCACAUAUGUAUUCCUACUCCAAGGCAAGACAUUUUUUCUUCUGCAGUUCACAUAUAGUGUGAAAGCAAUAACAUAAGCUGUGUUAAAGAGGCACUUCAUAUGCUUAAACAUUAUUUUUGACAUACAAGAUGCACAUUUUGCCAUUGGAGUCUCCUCUGGCUUCCAAAUGGCUCUAUCAUGUUCCAUAGAUUUUUUAUGCUCUGCUG
rnacentral:lncRNA from 1 species